rnacentral:tRNA from 1 species
GGGUCUGUAGCUCAGGUGGUUAGAGCGUACGCCUGAUAAGCGUAACAGGGGUUCGACUCCACUCAGACCCACCA